GUUUCUGUAGUGUAGCGGUUAUCAUGCUCGCCUCACACGCGAGAGAUCCUGGGUUCGAAACCGGAUGGAAACA